GCUAGUGGAAAAAUGUAGCCAUCGUGUGUACACCAAGGGGCAGGGCCUCUACGCAAAGCUCUUGUGCUCUUCCUUGGUGUGUGUGUGUGUCUGUGUAGAGUUUCUCCAUGGUGUGUGUUCAUGAGUGAUGAGAGGAAGAAGAAGAAGAAGAAGCGGCGCCAACACUCUUAUCAUUGCCAUUUUUUUGAUUGAUUGGGUUUGUCCUCUUGGUGGAGGAGGCAGGGAGCAAGCAGGCAGACAUGGGAGAAGGAGAAUGACCCUGACGAGAUGGCUGCCAUAGGGUCGUGGCCUUCUUUAGCACGCACAUCGGCACCGUCCCCGCGGCCGCAGCAGGAUGACGAUGUUGGCUGCAAGUGACGACGCAGGAGCCCAUCCUGGUCGAGCGCCCACCGAGGAUUUUACUACUGCUAUGGACAAAAGAAGGCUAAAGCUGGGAAAGACAACAAUGUCAGGAGCCGACCGAGCUAGAUCCAAAAUGCCCAAAAUGCCGAGAAGCAGGGUUUAUUUUCUCUCAUAACCAUAACAAAGCUUCAAGGGAGGAUGAUGUUUUGUGCAUGUUUCAUUUGCCAUCAAGGCGGUCAUGAUGUUGACUCAUGUCUAAUGCUGAUGGUGAACCGAUUUAGUUCUAACGAAAGAACUAUGAAGCUGAGCUUUUUAUUCAGUUCAAACGAGUGAGCCAGUCCAUUAUGUAUCAGCUUUGAGGGAGUUGUCCAUGUUUCAUUUGCCAUCCAUGUGAUCACGACGUCGACUCAUGUCUAUUGCUGAUGGUGAACCAUUUUUGGCUGUUGUUUAUGCUUCUGAAAAUGAUUGCUGGGGAAGGAGGACCAUUCCUAAUUUGGCCUCAAGGAGAUGCUCUGCUUCAGCUCGCAGGUGGUUUGGUGCCUCUGGAUAUUCCCCCAUCCUCUCCGUUGUGCACAUAUCUCCUUGGUCCAGUCACUUUGUCUCGCUGCACGGAGCGUUUACCUGUCAUCAACAUCUGUCGGUGGAAACGACACCUAUGGGAUCACAAGAAUCCCUACUACGGUUGGCGGGGCGCGGGGUUGUGAGAAGAGCAGGUCUAACAGGAAGCACACGGAUCGUUUACCCAGGUUCGGGCCGCGAGGAUGCGUAAUACCCUAGUCCUGCUUUGGUGGAUGUAUUGAGUGUUCUUGUGUUCUUGAGCUAGCUACGGGGUGUAACUUGCCCAAACGAGCCGAAUCCCUCUCCAGUAUGCCAUGGGCUUCCAUUUAUAGUCGAAAGAGGCUGCCACAGUGGAGGUGGAAAGGUC